AACGCACAUUGCGCCCCGUGGUAUUCCGCGGGGCAUGCCUGUUCGAGCGUCAUUAGACCAUAUCACGCCUGGCGUGGUCUUGGGGUCUGCCAUUUGGCAACCCUUAAACGCAGUGGCGGUGCCGUAGGGCUCUCAGCGUAGUAAACUUUCUCGCUGUGGGGUCCCCGCGGACGCUUGCCAGCAACCCUCAAUACUCUAGGUUGACCUCGGAUCAGGUAGGGAUACCCGCUGAACUUAA
rnacentral:misc_RNA from 1 species